CGAACGGCAGCACGGAGCUUGCUCUGGUGGCGAGUGGCGAACGGGUGAGUAAUAUAUCGGAACGUACCCUGGAGUGGGGGAUAACGUAGCGAAAGUUACGCUAAUACCGCAUACGAUCUACGGAUGAAAGUGGGGGAUCGCAAGACCUCAUGCUCGUGGAGCGGCCGAUAUCUGAUUAGCUAGUUGGUAGGGUAAAAGCCUACCAAGGCAUCGAUCAGUAGCUGGUCUGAGAGGACGACCAGCCACACUGGAACUGAGACACGGUCCAGACUCCUACGGGAGGCAGCAGUGGGGAAUUUUGGACAAUGGGCGAAAGCCUGAUCCAGCAAUGCCGCGUGAGUGAAGAAGGCCUUCGGGUUGUAAAGCUCUUUUGUCAGGGAAGAAACGGUGAGAGCUAAUAUCUCUUGCUAAUGACGGUACCUGAAGAAUAAGCACCGGCUAACUACGUGCCAGCAGCCGCGGUAAUACGUAGGGUGCAAGCGUUAAUCGGAAUUACUGGGCGUAAAGCGUGCGCAGGCGGUUUUGUAAGUCUGAUGUGAAAUCCCCGGGCUCAACCUGGGAAUUGCAUUGGAGACUGCAAGGCUAGAAUCUGGCAGAGGGGGGUAGAAUUCCACGUGUAGCAGUGAAAUGCGUAGAUAUGUGGAGGAACACCGAUGGCGAAGGCAGCCCCCUGGGUCAAGAUUGACGCUCAUGCACGAAAGCGUGGGGAGCAAACAGGAUUAGAUACCCUGGUAGUCCACGCCCUAAACGAUGUCUACUAGUUGUCGGGUCUUAAUUGACUUGGUAACGCAGCUAACGCGUGAAGUAGACCGCCUGGGGAGUACGGUCGCAAGAUUAAAACUCAAAGGAAUUGACGGGGACCCGCACAAGCGGUGGAUGAUGUGGAUUAAUUCGAUGCAACGCGAAAAACCUUACCUACCCUUGACAUGGCUGGAAUCCCCGAGAGAUUGGGGAGUGCUCGAAAGAGAACCAGUACACAGGUGCUGCAUGGCUGUCGUCAGCUCGUGUCGUGAGAUGUUGGGUUAAGUCCCGCAACGAGCGCAACCCUUGUCAUUAGUUGCUACGAAAGGGCACUCUAAUGAGACUGCCGGUGACAAACCGGAGGAAGGUGGGGAUGACGUCAAGUCCUCAUGGCCCUUAUGGGUAGGGCUUCACACGUCAUACAAUGGUACAUACAGAGCGCCGCCAACCCGCGAGGGGGAGCUAAUCGCAGAAAGUGUAUCGUAGUCCGGAUUGUAGUCUGCAACUCGACUGCAUGAAGUUGGAAUCGCUAGUAAUCGCGGAUCAGCAUGUCGCGGUGAAUACGUUCCCGGGUCUUGUACACACCGCCCGUCACACCAUGGGAGCGGGUUUUACCAG
rnacentral:rRNA from 1 species